CUUCAUUCUUUUGCUGAAAAACACUUAUGUUAUGAUUUUUUUAAACAAGUACUUCUAUUAUGAUCUGUGUUAACUUGUUCUGCUAUGAACAGUGGCCGAAUGAAAGUGCGACCACGUGGCAACAUCAGACACCGGACAUUUGUCUAGCACGGUUGUACUCAUUCUGUAUCUAAAUAAUUAUAGUUGGAAAGAAGUAAUGGAAGUAUACACCGAAGUAGUGGAAGUAUACCGCAUUUUAUACCCUCGUAUUCAACGAAGAUAUGGUCCAGAGGUUUGUUCACUGCAGAAUUAUGAGAGGCCAAAUGGCACCGGACCUUGAAACUAACAUGAUCAUACCAUCAGAACAUUAGUGCAUUAUAUCACCAUUGUGUUUUGCCUGCGCUUUAUUAUGGCCGCAGCGAGAUCAGUACAGCUCGCUGUCUGUCUAUGCCUCACAACUGAGAUCAAGAAAGAAAACAGAAAACCUUCACAUCUUUUUGGCAUAUCGCUGGCUCAGUUCCUCAGCUCUUCUCUCGACCGUCGUCAGAGCAGCUUGGGCUUCCUGCUCCCCGCCUUCCCUCCAAAGCUCGACAUGUCUGCACAACACAACACAGCAAAGUGCAGAGCUUAAAAUACGACAGUCGACAUCACCAGUUCACCACUGCAUAGUGUAUACACCACCAUUUCAGUUCAGGAUCGGCCGUCGCUGCCUGCACACACACGACACAAGCACCGACGCGCGUACCGGACGGGGAGGGGGCGUGUGAGAAGAGGAAGAGGACGACGAAGCAGAGCACGACGAUCAGCGGCACGAGGUGGACGGACCGCUCCGUGGCCGGCGACGGCCGGACGGCGGGCGCCUUCUCCGGCUUGGCCUCCAGGUCCUCCGCCUCCUCCUCGUCCGCCAAGACGGGGAACGACGGGGUGCUCACCGGCCUCUGCAUUCUCUCCACUCUCGAGUAUUGACUACGUACACAGCAGGAUUGGGAUGUGUACGCUGGCUGAUGCCUCGUGAGUCUCCGUACUUCUUAUGGCCGUCGAAUUCAGAGGCGGCAC
rnacentral:lncRNA from 1 species